rnacentral:lncRNA from 1 species
AUAGAAUAGUAUAUAAUUCUGUGGCUCACCCUCAGCAUCCUCCCUAGAACUGUGCUAUACGAUAGGGUAGCCAGUAGUCACAUGUGGCUACUGAGAACUUGAAAUGUAGCUCGUUCAAACUGAGAUGUGCCAUAAGAAUACAAGCUCGAUUUAGAAGACUUAGCACCAAAAAAAGACACUUCAAGUUCCCAAAAGGAGGAAAAAGAAAGGAUAAGAUAUGACAAUAUAAUCAGCAGUCGUGAGUUCCUGCUCUUCCUCAGAACAAUUCCUCUGGCCAAGGAGUAGAGAAAAAACACAGAAAGCAGUAUCCACUCAAAGGCAAAGCUCAUGGAAGUUUUUUCCAAAUCAAACUUCAUCUGUCUUACAUUUGGUGGGAUUCCUCCAAGAUUCUGGCACGUGUUUGUCUUUCUUUCUUUCGUAGUAAGGGAAUGUAGAUUUGAGAGAAAGAAGAAAGGAGAAAGAUUGAAGAGCGAGAUUAUACCACCAGAGCGAAGAGAUGGUACCACCAUUAGUGAAAAAGAAAUCAGAGAACACAAAAGACAAAGGAUGAAGACUAAAAGCAAGCUUUGCCCGCAUUAGUUUUGCUUAGAGUUAACCCUUGCCCAACUCCCUGUUAGUCUACAAAUGAUCUCUUAUCUACUCUAAGUCGUGACAUGAGUCCAUUGAUAAAGUCCUGUGGGGGGAUGCAGUGUCUGAUCAAACAAUGCUCAGGAGGCAGAGUUCAUUGACCAUGUCCAGUUGUUGAGUAUAUUUCGAGGUUUUGAGAUGUUCUAUUUGCCACAGCUUUCAACUGGACUUUGUUUCUCUGAACCUGGGUGUGCAAAUGAAAAAAAAAUCAUUAAAAACAAAGCUCUACAAAGACAGACAACUGGUAUUUUUUCCCUUCUGUAUUCCUGGCAUUUAGGAGAGUGUUUGGCAC